UACAGAGGUCUCAAGCGUUGUUCGGAUUCAUUGGGCGUAAAGGGUGCGUAGGCGGCGCGGUAAGUCGGGUGUGAAAUCUUGGAGCUUAACUCCGAAACUGCAUUCGAUACUGCCGUGCUUGAGGACUGGAGAGGAGACUGGAAUUUACGGUGUAGCGGUGAAAUGCGUAGAUAUCGUAAGGAAGACCAGUGGCGAAGGCGGGUCUCUGGACAGUUCCUGACGCUGAGGAGCGAAAGCGUGGGGAGCAAACAGG
rnacentral:rRNA from 1 species